rnacentral:rRNA from 1 species
GAUGAACGCUGGCGGCGUGCCUUAGGCAUGCAAGUCGAACGGGAAGUCUUCGGACUUCUAGUGGCGGAAGGGUGAGUAACGCGUGGGAACGUACCUAUUGGUGGAGAAUAGCUCGCCGAAAGGCGGGAUAAUUCUGCAUAAGACCGCAAGGUGAAAGGGCUUAACCGCCCGCCGAUAGAGCGGCCUGCGUCCUAUCAGCUAGUUGGUGGGGUAAAGGCUCACCAAGGCGACGAUCCGUAACUGGUCUGAGAGGAUGAUCAGUCACACUGGAACUGAGACACGGUACAGACUCCUACGGGAGGCAGCAGUGGGGAAUAUUGGACAAUGGGCGAAAGCCUGAUCCAGCCAUGCCGCGUGUGUGAAGAAGGUCUUCGGAUUGUAAAGCACUUUAAGUUGGGAGGAAGGGUCGUUACCUAAUACGUGACGAUUUUGACGUUACCGACAGAAUAAGCACCGGCUAACUCUGUGCCAGCCGCCGCGGUAA